GCGCAGCUUGAGGCAGUGCUCUCUCUGCUUCCCCUGCAGGGGCAGGCGGUGUAAAGGUGGAGCCGGAGUGGGCCCCCCCCAUUGGCAACCCUGCCUGGGCGCUCCCCUAGCUGUGACUCCACCUGGCACACGGGCGUGAGCUGCCCACUUUGCAGUGUGUAUCACCAGCUGGGCUGCCUCUGACCUGGCCAGAAGUGGGCUUCAUCCAGCGGAGCUCUAGGGUUGCUUCCAGCACCUUUCCUUUCACCACAGUCAGUCCUCAUUUCUGCAGGGGCUUAUUAGUAACUCGGUCUCCCAUUGAGCCCUUUUCAUCAGGAGGUAACAAAUUGCUUUAGGAGAAUUAUUGAAUUAAGCCUGUAGGCCCAAGAAAUUCUCUCAUUUGACAAAGGAGUAAAAUGAGGAAAUGAGAACAUUUGUUUUGGUUUUCUUUUUCAUUUGGACCUGAUUACCCAAGUAUCUGACUGUCCAUAAUUGCUAACAAAUAGAUAUGAAUCACGUUGGAGAAAAUAACCGUGUAACCCAUUUCAGGCAGACACUACUGCAUGUAUGACUGCCUUGUGAAUCUGUGAGGGGAGCUCAACCAUGAAAGCCAGCAAAUCAGAGUGGAAAGGAACCUGAGCAAAUAGAAAUCAUGCUCAACAGCAAAAGAGAGAUCACCUUAUAUGGAAGCAUCCAUGGGAAAGGAAAUGAAUGUAUCUGGCCUGGCUGCUAAGGUCAGAUCCCAACUGGAUGGAAGAAGUUAAUGUGAGUGUGCUUAGGAAGAAAAGAAGACACUCUGAAGAGCAAGUCUUUGUCCCAGAUGGAAUCCAAGUCCUGUUGUUUUUCCUUUUUGUUAUAAAUCAGGGAAUGGGCACUUAAAUCUGACUGUGUUAUAUUAAAAUCCAUUUCUACAGUAUGGCUUUUCAAGUACCUAGAUGUAUCACAGGUCUUGCUUUGAUCCAUCCCAAUCUGUGUUGUUUUGUGCUAUUAUUUUGUAUCACACUUUUCAAAGUUUGUUGAUAUGCUGCAGGACAGUGGGGUGGGAGGAGGUAUUGUUUCAUAUUCUCUGUGUGUAUAUAAAGUCUGCUGCAGUUUCCACGGUAAACAUCUGAUGAAGUGAGCUGUAGCUCACGAAAGCUCAUGCUCAAAUAAAUUGGUUAGUGCCACAA